CCUACGUGUCGCAGCAGUGAGGAAUAUUGGUCAAUGGGCGCGAGCCUGAACCAGCCAAGUAGCGUGAAGGAUGACUGCCCUACGGGUUGUAAACUUCUUUUAUAAAGGAAUAAAGUGAGGCACGUGUGCCUUUUUGUAUUUACUUUAUGAAUAAGGAUCGGCUAAUUCCGUGCCAGCAGCCGCGGUAAUACGGAGGAUCCGAGCGUUAUCCGGAUUUAUUGGGUUUAAAGGGAGCGUAGAUGGGUUGUUAAGUCAGUUGUGAAAGUUUGCGGCUCAACCGUAAAAUUGCAAUUGAUACUGGCAGUCUUGAGUACAGUUGAGGUAGGCGGAAUUCGUGGUGUAGCGGUGAAAUGCUUAGAUAUCACGAAGAACUCCGAUUGCGAAGGCAGCUUACUAAACUGCCACUGACAUUGAUGCUCGAAAGUGUGGGUAUCAAACAGGAUUAGAUACCCUGGUAGUC
rnacentral:rRNA from 1 species